rnacentral:rRNA from 1 species
ACGAACGCUGGCGGUGCGCCUAAUGCAUGCAAGUCGAACGGACGACCCCGGCUUGCCGGGGAAGUUAGUGGCAAACGGCUGAGUAACACGUAAGUAACCUGUCCUGAAGCGGGGGAUAAGCCGGAGAAAUCCGGCCUAAUACCCCGUACGCUCCGGUGGCUGCGGCCACUGGAGGAAAGGCUUCGGUCGCUUCAGGAGGGGCUUGCGGCCUAUCAGGUAGUUGGUGGGGUAACGGCCUACCAAGCCGAAGACGGGUAGCCGGUGUGAGAGCAUGAUCGGCCAGAGGGGGACUGAGACACGGCCCCCACUCCUACGGGAGGCAGCAGCAGGGAAUCUUGCGCAAUGGGCGAAAGCCUGACGCAGCGACACCGCGUGGGGGAAGAAGGCCUUCGGGUUGUAAACCCCUUUUCUCGGGGAAGAGUAAGGACGGUACUUGAGGAAUAAGGAUCGGCUAACUACGU